rnacentral:lncRNA from 1 species
AGGCUAAGGUACAGUUAGAAAGAAUAGCAGUUUCAUUGGAAGGAACUGACAGAAAACAACCCUUCAUGUGAGCUUCACUGGGAGAAAGACUCUGGAUGACAGGCCUUCAUGAUUGGAAUUUGAAGUGGCAGAACAUUAGAUCCGAGCUGAGACUGUAGUCAAGGACAUAGCAGAAAGAAGAGGGAAGAGAAGCCAGGAGGAAAUCUGGACAGCUCUGACACGGAGGACGGAGUCCUGGUGUCAGCCGCCCCAAGCCGAGAACUCGAGUCUCAUGGUUAGUUGGUAGAGACAGUAAAGAGAAACUAUCAAAGCUGUCCAAGACGUGACUGAGCGACCCAACACGCUUCUCAGAUGGAACUUGGGAAAUGGUGUCUCAAGGGAUCCACACAGCCUGUGAGAACUGUAACUACACACCAUCACUUUGUUCUG